rnacentral:rRNA from 1 species
AUUGAACGCUGGCGGCGUGCCUAAUACAUGCAAGUCGAGCGAAGUGGGGACGGGUGAGUAACACGUGGAUAACCUCCUCUAAGACUGGGAUAACUUUGGGAAACCGGAGCUAAACCGGAUACUUAUAGAUGGAUCCGAGCUACAUUAGCUAGUUGGAAAGGUAACGGCUUACCAAGGAAACGAUGCAGAGCCGACCUGAGAGGGCUAACGGCCACACUGGAACUGAGAAACGGUCCAGACUCCUAAGGGAGGCAGCAGUAGGGAAUCUUCCGCAAUGGGCGAAAGCCUGACAGAGCAACGCGGCUUAAGUGAUGAAGGUCUGCGGAUCGUAAAACUCUGUUAUUAAAGAAGCGAUACCUAAUCAUAAAGCCACGGCUAACUACGUGCCAGCAGCCGCGGUAAUAC